GAUGAACGCUGGCGGCGUGCCUAAUACAUGCCAGUCGAGCGAACAGACGAGGAGCUUGCUCCUCUGACGUUAGCGGCGGACGGGUGAGUAACACGUGGAUAACCUACCUAUAAGACUGGGAUAACUUCGGGAAACCGGAGCUAAUACCGGAUAAUCUAUUGACCCGCAUGGUUCAAUAGUGAAAGACGGUUUUGCUGUCACUUCUCGAUGGAUCCGCGCCGCAUUAGCUAGUUGGUAAGGUAACGGCUUACCAAGGCAACGAUGCGUAGCCGACCUGAGAGGGUGAUCGGCCACACUGGAACUGAGACACGGUCCAGACUCCGACGGGAGGCAGCAGUAGGGAAUCUUCCGCAAUGGGCGAAAGCCUGACGGAGCAACGCCGCGUGAGUGAUGAAGGUCUUCGGAUCGUAAAACUCUGUUAUUAGGGAAGAACAAAUGUGUAAGUAACUAUGCACGUCUUGACGGUACCUAAUCAGAAAGCCACGGCUAACUACGUG
rnacentral:rRNA from 1 species